UCCGUAGGUGGAUAAUUAAGUCAGAGGUGAAAUCCUGCAGCUCAACUGUAGAAUUGCCUUUGAUACUGGUUAUCUUGAGUCAUUAUGAAGUGGUUAGAAUGUGUAGUGUAGCGGUGAAAUGCAUAGAUAUUACACAGAAUACCGAUUGCGAAGGCAGAUCACUAAUAAUGUACUGACACUGAUGGACGAAAGCGUGGGGAGCAAACAGGAUUAGAUACCCUGGUAGUCC
rnacentral:rRNA from 1 species